GGAAGCCCUUCCCACCUGGCUGUGUCACUGGUCUGGGAACACAUUUUGAGAAUCACUGCUCUGGAGGCAGAGAAGUCCGGAGUUGAUGGGCCACUUCUGACUUUUGGAUGGGACAAACAUUCAAACCGUAGCAAUGUGUAAGAAUCCUCUGGAAACACUAUGGAGUGAUGGAGAAAGCACCAUCUGGGGAGUCAGAUGACCUGCUCUCUAUCCCAGCUCAUCAGGGAGUCUCUGAGACAAACACUUACCAGAGCCACUCUUGAUGAUAGAAUUGGUGAUGUGACAGCCACCAAAGGAAUGUGACACAAAGUAGAAAUGAGACCUGAGAUGUGGCCUGGACCUUUACCAUGGAAAUGCCCAUAAAUUGCGUCCCUAUUCCUUAAGAUUUUAUUUAAAGUUAUUUUCAGAAUGUUGUGAAGUUUCCAAUCAUACCAAAAUCUUCAAAAAAAAAAAAAAAAAAAAAAACCCACAGAAUUUACAUUUUAAAAGCACCAUUGUUGUCAUGAUAAUGGUGGCAAGUAAUUUUCAAAUUUGGGUUAUUUUAGAAACAGAAUAAAAGAAGACAACUAUAAUAUAAUCCCAAUAAACAAAAGCAAAUAAAAAGGCUAAAUCAUGGGACUAUCAGUAUAUAGAUUCUACUUAUUACUGUGGUAUUUGUUCCUUAUCUUUAUGAAGUAGUUCAUAUUUUUUAUUAUGCAAGUUUUUGAACAAAUACAAAAGUUCAGAAAACAGUAUAAUGAACAGCAUAUACCUAUCACUCAGGUAAUCCGGAUUUUUCACACUUGCAUCAUCUAUCUUUUGUUUGGGACUGAAAUAUUUUAAAGCACAUCUAAGACCUUAUCCUGACUUAUCUUUUCAUUUUAGUGAUCUCCUUGCAAGUAAUUGUAGCAGAUAAUAUUAUCAUCAUUUGAUAGGAGAAGCUGAGUCCCAUACUUUUAACUUGCCUAAGGUCACCCGAGGAGUUAGUAGCAGAGCUAUGAUCGCCUCUUUCUCAACUCCAUUAGACUUGCUGGCAUAAUUUCACAGUUCCCAGCGCCCCUUGUCCUUGAGAACUGUUCCCUGCGUAAGACUUAGUUUUAGCAGGUCUGUCCUUUUACUGUGUGACAACCCUAAC
rnacentral:lncRNA from 1 species